UACGUAGGGACCAAGCGUUGUUCGGAAUUACUGGGCGUAAAGGGCUCGUAGGUGGCCAACUAAGUCAGACGUGAAAUCCCUCGGCUUAACCGGGGAACUGCGUCUGAUACUGGAUGGCUAGAGAUUGGGAGAGGGAUGCGGAAUUCCAGGUGUAGCGGUGAAAUGCGUAGAUAUCUGGAGGAACACCGGUGGCGAAGGCGGCAUCCUGGACCAACACUGACGCUGAGGAGCGAAAGCCAGGGGAGCAAACGGG
rnacentral:rRNA from 1 species